rnacentral:lncRNA from 1 species
UUGACUCCCAAACACUCUCAACCUCCAAACAAACCCAAAUCUGAGACCACACUGAGGUCUCAGAACCAUGAAAACCCUCCCCCGAGCUCUUAAACGGAUUAUCACUGUCCAGAGAUGUUCAGAACCCUGUGGAAAGGGUCAAGGUCCAGCUAAAGUGGUUUAAAUGGGAACAAAAUGAAAAGCUAAGUUUUCUUGCAUAUUUUUCAUUUCUUUAGCUUUUGAAUGCUUGAGUUUUUUAAUAAUUGAUUAGUUUCAGUAGCUACAUAUCUAAUAGUUGAAGUUCUUUUAUUUGAUUUAGUUGUUUAUCUGUUUGUCCACAACUUCAUCUAGGAUAGGUUCAUAUGUUUUGUUAGUCACUAGUCUGGAAACCUUCUCGUCUUUAAAAUAGUUCAAAAUCCUGUUGAAAUUAGCGUUUGAGCGGUGUGCUUCUCAUAAUUUGAUGAACUGUAGUUCUGAUUGGUUUGAUUGUUUGUUUGUGCGAAUGAGUGCCUGAUCUUUAUUUCAUAAUAGCUUUGGAU